AGUCUGGUUGUGGCUGCUGAAGGAAAAACUGGUUGUUGGAAUCGUUAAAUGGACAGAAGAGAAGAGAAGAGAAGAGAAGAGAAGAGAAGAAAAAAAAAGUCUUGGCUACACUGAAAGAAGGAUAAUUAAGGUCAAUGGCAGAUGGGAGCCAAUGGAGUCAAUGACACAGCCUGUUUCCUCUAUUAGACCAACAUGAGCCAGUCAGAGAAGGGCCCAUGACAAGCCACAAAAAUGAAGAAAGCACAUCUUUUGGCCUUGAAAUAAGAGGUUCUGCGAAUCAUUCUGUAAGACGUUUGCAAUUUAGAGAACUGUUAGUGUUCAUUGGAAUAUGCCUUGUGUUUAUCAGU